CCAGAUCCUUAACCCAUUGAGCAAGGCCAGGAAUCGAACCUGCAACCUCAUGGUUCCUAGUCGGAUUCCUUAACCACUGAGCCACAGCGGGAACUCCCAGGAGGGGAAUCUUGAGAUGGACUGUCACAAUCUCAUGUAUCUUUGCUGUCCUCCUCCCAAGGGAGGUCAGAGCCUGCUUCCGCAGGUGCAGCCAUAAAAAGACAAAAAAAAAAAAAAAGAAGAAGAAAAAUUUGAGCCUACUCAUGAUAGUGACUCUGCCCUGGCUCAGUAGUUCCCUCCCCACUGGCUCUGAGUACAUGGAACCCACAGCCAGACGCAGUCCUCACUGCCAGCAUGGCAAGCCCUGUGCUGUUCCCUCCCAGGCCAGGGCCAUCUGUCUUCAGAGAGCUCACGUAUUUGUUCUUAGUUUUCAGUUGCGGCUGUUAACAACUUGCCACAAGGAGAGCUUAAAACCACGCCCACGUUUCAUCCCACAGUUUUGAAGUUCCUGGGAUUGAGCCCAAGCCACAGCAGUGACAAUGCUGAAUCCUCAACCUACUAGGCCACCGUGGAGCUCCAGGUGUUUUUCCCCUCCCUCUCCAGCUGUGAGGUUCUCCCCCACCCCCCGGUUGUGUGGUCAGGCCCAGUGCUCACAUCCCAGGGCAUUGAGAUCCUCUCUCUGCUCACCUGGCUGUCCCAAGAUGACAGUGGUUCCCAAGGGCAGGACCCCAUCUUUCAUCUCUGUAUCUGCAGUUUCUAGCACAGACCUAUGCACAGUGAGUGUAUCCAGGAAGCAGGGGUGGGCAGAAAGGAGGCAGCUGUUGUGGCAUUGUAGGCCUGGGCUGAGCAGCAGAGCAAAGCAGCUCAUCCAAAGCCCAGAGGUGUUGGGUUUUCAAGGGGAAGUCUCUGGGCCCCACACGAGCCCACCAGCCCCUCAUGCUUGUGCUGAGCUCCAUAUUUCAAAGCGAGACAUCAUCUGAAGCUCGUUUUGAGGGGCUGCAGCAGAGGCACAACCCUCAGUUCACAGAUGGGGAAACCAGACCAGGUGAGCCCCAACUCUGUGACCACAGCUUUCUCCUGAGCCCUGCCAUUGGCCCAGCUGGUGUCCAGGCCCCACUGAAGAGCUGGACUCUGAUCGGGGUCCCUUGAGACUUAGGCUUGUGUUUAGCAGCUUUUCCUCUACUGGCAUAUUCAUAUCACGAAGGUGUGUCAAGCAUCUGUCCUGACCUGCAAUGCAGUAGUACACAUGCUAGAUUCACGAGAUUAAUAUCCCAGGGGUGCUUAAUACAUAAAGUCUAGUAUUUUUGUUUCAUCUUCUUUGUCGUCUCUGCAGAAACAGGGUCAGUGCAAAUCUGCAGUUGAUGGCAGCUGGUCAAAGGCUUUUGGUCUGGAAAACUCCUCAAAGGUGAAGAAUUUACAUUGAUGAAGAGGUAAAAAGGCCCAAAUCAAAUGUAGACUCAAGUACUAGGCUGCAUAAGAUUAAAUCAGUGAAAAAACCA